rnacentral:rRNA from 1 species
AUUGAACGCUGGCGGCAGGCCUAACACAUGCAAGUCGAACGAGUGGCGGACGGGUGAGUAAGGUCUGGGAAACUGCCUGAUGGAGGGGGAUAACUACUGGAAACGGUAGCUAAUACCGCAUACCAGCAGAUGUGCCGAGAUGGGAUUAGCUAGUUGGUGGGGUAAAUGCUCACCAAGGCGACGAUCCGUAGCUGGUCUGAGAGGAUGACCAGCCACACUGGAACUGAGACACGGUCCAGACUCCUACGGGAGGCAGCAGUGGGGAAUAUUGGACAAUGGGCGAAAGCCUGAUGCAGCCAUGCCGCGUGUAUGAAGAAGGCCUUCGGGUUGUAAAGCACUUUCAGCUGGGAGGCGUUACCCUCAGAAGAAGCACCGGCUAACUCCGUGCCAGCAGCCGCGGUAAUAC